rnacentral:rRNA from 1 species
GGGGAAUAUUGGACAAUGGGCGAAAGCCUGAUCCAGCCAUGCCGCGUGUGUGAAGAAGGUCUUCGGAUUGUAAAGCACUUUAAGUUGGGAGGAAGGGCUGCUGGUUAAUACCCUGCAGUUUUGACGUUACCAACAGAAUAAGCACCGGCUAACUUCGUGCCAGCAGCCGCGGUAAUACGAAGGGUGCAAGCGUUAAUCGGAAUUACUGGGCGUAAAGCGCGCGUAGGUGGUUGGGUAAGUUGAAUGUGAAAGCCCCGGGCUCAACCUGGGAACUGCAUCCAAAACUGCCCGACUAGAGUACGGUAGAGGGUGGUGGAAUUUCCUGUGUAGCGGUGAAAUGCGUAGAUAUAGGAAGGAACACCAGUGGCGAAGGCGACCACCUGGACUGAUACUGACACUGAGGUGCGAAAGCGUGGGGAGCAAAC